rnacentral:RNase_P_RNA from 1 species
GAAGCAGGCCAGACAAUCGCUGGUUGCCGUGAUUUAUCAUGGCGACGGGAGGAAGGUCCGGACUCCAUAGAGCAGGGUGACGGCUAACGGCCGUACGUUGAAAGCCAGGGUGCAAGCCCGGGUAUAAGACGAGGAAUAGGGCCACAGAGACGAGCGUAUUAAGUUACGGUGAAACGCGGUAACCUCCACCCGGAGCAAUUUCAAAUAGGCACGCGUUGAUGUGGCUCGCGGAGCGUGCGGGUAGAAAGCUUGAGCGGCGGAGCAAUCCGUCGCCUAGAGGAAUGAUUGUCAUAGCAGAUGGCAGCAAUGUCUUAUGCCGUAACAGAAUCCGGCCUACCGGCCUGCUUUAUUU